CUCUAUCCUGGGACAAAGCCAGUGCCAACCGCCUGAUCAGCUCAGCAGGAACCGCCGGCUGUGGGAGAUUGCAGCGCCUUCAGCGAUGGAGCAGGAUGUUGGGCUCGGAUCCUAAAGCAAACCUGUGUGAAUGGAACGUGAGCUCUGUGGUGGAGAAAAAGAGGUGUAGAUCGCUGUACUCACUUCUGUAGUGCUGUGCAUAUGAACAACAAACGCAACCAACCGGUUUUCCCAGAAUGACUGUGUGUAACUCAGCAGCUGAUUGCUAUGAAGGAUUCCCCUUUGGUCAGUGUGUGCCAGUGACAGCACAAGAGCCUCAGGGUGGGCGCUGCGCCUGUUUGGGUGACAGCACACGCAGCGUAGUUUACUCAGCCAGGCUGGUUGUACGUGUGAGUGGAUGGACGCUUUGAAGGAGGUGGAAGCUCUGCAGCUCUGACAGAUGGCCCAGAAAACCUUAUUGUCAUAAUCAAAGCUAUGGUAAUGCACAUCAACAAAAGCAGAAUAAACAAAGGAAGUGUUCUGUUCCAAACUUUGGCUUACGCCAUAUCUGUGAAUAUC